rnacentral:rRNA from 1 species
CGGCGUGGAUAAGACAUGCAAGUCGAGCGCUGAUUACAGGGUAGCAAUAUUCUGUGGUCGGAGCGGCGCAAGGGUGCGUAACACGUGGGUAAUCUGCCAUGAAGUUUGGAAUAACUUGCUGAAAGGCGAGCUAAUACCGGAUGUGACAAUUGAGAGGCAUCUUCCGAUUGUCAAAGCUGGGGACCGUAAGGCCUGGCGCUUCAUGAUGAGCCCGCGGCCUAUCAGCUAGUUGGUGAGGUAACGGCUCACCAAGGCUAAGACGGGUAGCUGGUCUGAGAGGACGACCAGCCACACUGGAACUGAGACACGGUCCAGACACCUACGGGUGGCAGCAGUCGAGAAUUUUUCACAAUGGGCGCAAGCCUGAUGGAGCGACGCCGCGUGGGGGAUGAAUGGCUUCGGCCCGAAAGCCCCUGUCAUUUGCGAACAAAUUGGUUCAAUUAAC